CUCACCAUGGGCUGGAAAGAAACGGGAUUCCAGAAUUCUGGCUUUGCCUCUGCCUGAUGCUCGCAGCAGCUGGUGUCGGCCUGAUUUACCAGGUUGGGUACCCUUCAAUUCAACAGAUGCUCAGCCUUCCUGCUCACUGAGACUCUGGGCCUCUGCAGUGGCAGUUCAAGUGCCUCCCCCUUGUCCCUCUGGCUUCAUCAGCUGUAUUUUGACUCUUUACAUUUGAGUGAGUAAAAAUGCUGACCAGGUCAGAG
rnacentral:lncRNA from 1 species